rnacentral:snoRNA from 1 species
UUGGCCUUGAAUCAAGGCCAGCAGUUUGAUGGAGCUGCUGGUUUCAAGCAGGAGCCUAAAGAAACAUCUUCCUAUGGUCUGUUGACCAUUUCAGAACUUUGGAAAUGUUAUGGUCAAUUCAUUAGAAAGAAACAUCU